rnacentral:hammerhead_ribozyme from 1 species
AUCCAGUUGACGAGUCUCAAAUAGGACAAAACGCGCAUCAAACCUGGAU